rnacentral:misc_RNA from 1 species
GUCUAGGAUGGAAGAAUGUGGCAUCCCUGCGGGUAUGGAUGGGAGUUUGAUGAGCUUUGCUGUGUAUCCAGGGGCGAUGGAUGUUGGCGGGCUAGGGGCAGUGUCUCUUACCUUAGGCCUGCAGCAUAAUGAGGCUGCACAACAGCAGCAGCAGCAGAUUAGGAGGCACUUUGGGAGUCAGAUGGUACAUGAUUUUGUGGGUUGAUUUGUUAUGUUUUUGUUGGUUGAUUUGUUAUGCUUCUGUAUUUCCGAUGCUAGAUAGGUGGCUGAUGCAUCAAAUCGGUGUCGGCAAUCUCCAGCCAAUGAUGCCAAAUUUUGUGGGCAGAUAUACUGGUGGUGUCCAAAAAAUGUGAUGCAAUUUGUAUAAUUUGUGGGAGGGGUGAUCCUGUAUAUGGUGUUUCAAACAUGAUGCUAAAUAUUCCCAAUGAGUUGAUUAUA